CGGGGUGUAGCUCAGUCUGGCAGAGCACUGUCUUCGGGAGGCAGGGGUCGUGAGUUCAAAUCUCACCAUCCCGACCA
rnacentral:tRNA from 1 species